GGGUGAAUUUACCUCUUCAUUGCACAUGACAUUUGUGAAGGUAACAAUGUUGUCAUGGUAACCAGCUUCAUCACUGUGGGGUUGAACAGGAAUGGAGAUCAUUUUCAAAUUCAGCUUUCUCUGGACACAUUUGAAACUUUCUCAUCUGGCUCAUGGAGAUGCAUGUAUCUAUGCACAUAUUGCAUAUUACAUAGUUCCUUUGUGAUUCUGGCUCAUUGUCUGGGGUUCUUAUAAGUUAUGCCUACAUAGGAAGAGGACUUCCAUUUAAUGAUGGGCAGCUAGCAGCUGGCAUUCUCAGUUAUGAAAUAUUAUCAGACGGUAACGCAAAAAUCUCAAGUUUAAAAUGACAGUCAAGGGAGAAGAGAAUGUUUCCUUCAGAUUGUAAGAGAAGGAAAAAAGAAAAUGAAGGGUACAAGAAAGUAUCAGCGUGGAAAGGAAGGAGAAAUUUGCAAACAUUCCAAACUAACGCGUUCAGGACUCGUGUUCCUCAGAACAAAGAUUGAUGGGGGAUGUGAUUUGACGCAAGAUUUCGGUUGUCUUUCACCUCUGAAAAUUUGCUUUUGGUGGAUGAGUUGCUUUGGGGAAGAUCUGAAUUUUUAUCUCCUUUUUCAAGGCUGCCUUAAAGAUCAUAAGUGUAGAAGAUCAAAAGAGACGAGAUUACCUUUUAUUCUGGUUUCUUCGACCACCCAAAGCUGAUACCAAGGAACACGAUCACCUUAAGAAUUAUACCAGCGACAAAUAUAAAUCUUGGGAAGAAAUCAAAAUUGGAUCGACUCCCAAUUCAGGGAAUAAAAUGAAAAAUUGGGGGUCGAUCCGUCCACCAUCCCCCGCCAC